rnacentral:snRNA from 1 species
UUACUCUGAUCUCUCUUGAAUUGUUUAAUAAAUCUUACGCCUUCUACUAAAGAUUUCCGUGGAGAGGGAUACUCUAAUGUGUCCAAAUUCUCCAAUACUUCUUACCUCCAUUUCGUGAUA